rnacentral:rRNA from 1 species
GAUGAACGCUGGCGGCGUGCCUAAUACAUGCAAGUCGAGCGAACGGACGAGAAGCUUGCCUCUCUGAUGUUAGCGGCGGACGGGUGAUUAACAUGUGGCUAACCUACCUAUAAGACUGGGAUCACUUCGGGAAACCGUAGCUAACACCGGAUAAUAUUUUGAAAAGCAUGGUUCUAAAGUGCAAGACGGUCUUGCUGUCACUUAUAGAUGGAUCCGCGCUGCAUUAGCUAGUUGGUAAGGUAACGGCUUACCAAGGCAACGAUGCAUAGCUGACCUGAGCGGGUGAUCAGCCACACUGGAACUGAGACACGGUCCAGACUCCUACGGGAGGCAGCAGUAGGGAAUCUUGCGCAAUGGGCGAAAGCCUGACGGAACAACGCCGCGUGAGUGAUGAAGGUCUUCGGAUCGUAAAACUCUGUAAGUAGGGAAGAACAUAUGUAUGAGUAACUGUGCACAUCUUGACGGUACCGAAUGAGAAAGCCACGGCUAACUACGUG